rnacentral:rRNA from 1 species
CAUGAAGCUGGAAUCGCUAGUAAUCGCGGAUCAGAAUGCCGCGGUGAAUACGUUCCCGGGUCUUGUACACACCGCCCGUCACACCAUGGGAGUCGGAAAUGCCCGAAGUCUGUGACCCAACCUGAGGAGGGAGGGAGCAGCCGAAGGCAGGUCUGAUGACUGGGGUGAAGUCGUAACAAGGUACC